rnacentral:pre_miRNA from 20 species
UGUCUCUCUCUGUGUCCUGCCAGUGGUUCUACCCUAUGGUAGGUUACGUCAUGCUGUUCUACCACAGGGUAGAACCACGGACAGGAUACCGGGGCACC